rnacentral:lncRNA from 1 species
CGGAAAACACACACACACUCCACUUAGAAUUCAAUUUUAACCACACUGAAAGUCUAUUCAUUGUAAUGCUAAUCUAGUGCUUGUUUAGCUUUUCCUCAGCUUUCAGGUUCUCCGAAAAUUUCAUUUGAAACACUGAAAAAAAUCACGCCUAAUUUCUUUGGAAAUUGGCAGCCAAGCAUAAUCCUCAAUGCCAUAACUCUUCGCUUUGAUAACUCCUUCUCCCACUUGUCUGCAAAGUGCUGCUUUACUGGCCUCAUCCCAGCAUCCACUGUAUCCCGCGGACGUGUCUCCUUCCUCUGAAUGUCAACGGAUUCAGUGCCUUCACCACUCACUUUGG